rnacentral:tRNA from 1 species
GCCCCUGUAACUCAGGGUGGUAGAGUGUCAGAUUCGUAAUCUGUUAGCCGGGGGUUCAAAAAAAAGGACCGCUUCGGUCUCAUUGAAAUUCCCCCCAGGGGCU